AUUCUGCCCAAGCGGGGAAGGAUGAGAAGCUUCGACCAAGGUUCGACUCGAGCGCCAGCGAGAGAGCGUUGCCGUAGGCAACGACCCGAAGGGCGAAGCGCGCAGCGCUGAGUAAUCCUUCCCCCACCACCA
rnacentral:sRNA from 4 species